rnacentral:rRNA from 1 species
CCGUUAGUGGCGGACGGUGGAGUAACGCGUAGGGAUUUAUCGUUGGGUGGGGGAGUAACCCUGGGAAACUGGGGCUAAUACCGCAUGACGCCUGUGGGCCAAAGUUGUAAUGGCGCCUGACGAGAAGCCUGCGUCCGAUUAGCUAGUUGGUUGGGUAAAGGCUGACCAAGGCAUCGAUCGGUAGCUGGUCUGAGAGGAUGAUCAGCCACACUGGGACUGAGACACGGCCCAG